rnacentral:rRNA from 1 species
UAGGGAAUCUUCGGCAAUGGGGGGAACCCUGACCGAGCAACGCCGCGUGAGUGAAGAAGGUUUUCGGAUCGUAAAGCUCUGUUGUUAAGGAAGAACGAGUGUGAGAAUGGAAAGUUCAUACUGUGACGGUACUUAACCAGAAAGGGACGGCUAACUACGUGCCAGCAGCCGCGGUAAUACGUAGGUCCCGAGCGUUGUCCGGAUUUAUUGGGCGUAAAGCGAGCGCAGGCGGUUAGAUAAGUCUGAAGUUAAAGGCUGUGGCUUAACCAUAGUACGCUUUGGAAACUGUUUAACUUGAGUGCAAGAGGGGAGAGUGGAAUUCCAUGUGUAGCGGUGAAAUGCGUAGAUAUAUGGAGGAACACCGGUGGCGAAAGCGGCUCUCUGGCUUGUAACUGACGCUGAGGCUCGAAAGCGUGGGGAGCAAACAGGAUUAGAUACCCUGGUAGUCCACGCCGUAAACGAUGAGUGCUAGGUGUUAGACCCUUUCCGGGGUUUAGUGCCGCAGCUAACGCAUUAAGCACUCCGCCUGGGGAGUACGACCGNNNNUG